AUCCCUUCUCGGCCUUUUAGCUAAAAUCAAGUGUGGUAUCCAUUCUUGUCAAUUUUAUGCCACACAUAUCUUCAAUAUGAGGGCAUGACGUUAAAUGAGUGUGGGAAGUGGGUGGUGGACUUGGAGCUUGCUCUGUGCCUUGUCCUAGCAAGUGCCCCAA
rnacentral:snRNA from 1 species